UACGAAGGGUGCAAGCGUUACUCGGAAUUACUGGGCGUAAAGCGUGCGUAGGCGGUGAGUUAAGUCUGUUGUGAAAGCCCCGGGCUCAACCUGGGAAUGGCGAUGGAUACUGGCUCGCUAGAGUGCGGUAGAGGAGAGUGGAAUUCCCGGUGUAGCAGUGAAAUGCGUAGAGAUCGGGAGGAACAUCAGUUGCGAAGGCGGCUCUCUGGACCAGCACUGACACUGAGGCACGAAAGCGUGGGGAGCAAACAGG
rnacentral:rRNA from 1 species